rnacentral:rRNA from 1 species
AAAAAAACCCCACCCCUCCCCCCGCACAAAAAGCGCUCGUCCCGAUCUCAUCUCCGAUCUCCCUGCCGCCGACUCUUCCUAGCCGCUGCCCACGUACGAACUCGUUCGGUGCCGCCGCCGCCGUACGAGGGGAGACACCGCUGCCGCGUCUCCAGGGCAGGACGGCUUGAAUUCCUAUCACCGGGAUCGCCCCCGCCGAACUCCGGGCCAUGGCGAGAUCCAGCAGGCCGUGGCGGCGAUCAGCACCGGGACAGGACCAGGAGGCCGCCGGCGUCUCCCUGAUCCGUGACCCCGAUGCCAUGGAGCUGCUCGUCAAGGUUCGACGCGCGGUUGCUGCUGGAGCGGCUGCGCAACAAGAGGCUGAUCUUCGUGGGGGACUCCUGAACCAGAACCAGUGGGAGUCGACGGUGUGCCUGGUGUCGUCGGCGAUCCCGUCGCGCGACCAAAAGUCCCUGGCCAAGCUCGUGGGGCCCAACGGCUCUCUCAACGUGUUCACCGCAGCGGAGUACAACGCGACGGUGGAGUUCUACUGGGCGCCGUUCCUGGUGAGCUCCAACUCGGACGACCCCCAGGCGCACAGCGUGGUGGACCGCGUCAUCGCCUGGCUGUCCAUCGCCAAGCACACCCGGCACUGGCGCGCCGCCCACUUCCUCAUCUUCAACACCUACAUCUGGUGGCUCAACAACUUCGAGAUGAAAGUGUUGAAGAAUCCUCGGGCGUUGCCGGACAAGUACACGCUGGUGGAUCGGCCGGUGGCGUACAAGGAGGUGCUCAAGACGUGGGCAAAUUGGGUGGACCGCGGCGGAGGAGACGAGAGAAGGCCACCGUAGAAGACCGCAGGCGGAGGAGAGGAGACGCGGGUGAGGUAAGAGGAGUCAAAUCCCCAUCCCGCGCCUCCCCACACGCCGCCGACCCACCCGCGGCAUUCUUUCCGGUGUGCCAGGGGAAACAACAGCAAGAUGGUGGUGCGGGUCUUCGGGUAUGGGUCCCUGAUCUGGAACCUCGGCUUCGAUUUCGACGAGAAGAUCCUGGGAUUCAUCAAGGGCUGCAAGCGAACGUUUAAUCUCGGCACCUAGAGUCGCGCGGCGACGUCACCGUCCUCCUCUUCCACAUCGUCCUCGGCUGCAAGUUCAUCGCCUCUCAACGAGACCGGCAAAGCCAAGCUCAUCGGCCUCUCAGUUCAGAGCAACGUCCAGGCAAGCCGUUCGUCCUGUUUCCUCUCUUCAUCACAGUUGCUCUUCCGUGAGAAUGGUGCUAUGAUGAUGAUUGCCUAUUUGCUUUGGUGUGGGUUCAUCGGGUGGAGGAGCAGAAGAAGCUAGACGUGCCCUCCGAUGAGGUGUUGGUCAAUGCCCCUGUCAGCAGCGGCCGCAUCUGUGUUCUUGUGUCCGAGGAGGACGAGGAGGCUUCAUUCGCGGACCGGAAGCACCGUGGGAAGUGUGUAAAAAACUUCCACUAUAUAUGCUCUGCUCACAAACUUGAUAUGGUUGAGCAAUUUUACUUCUGUUGUUUCUGAUGAAAUGUGUGGCUCAUCAGAGCUAUUCCACAAUUUUGUCCCCACUUGUACCUUUUUGCACUUUAUAUCUGUAGCUUCUUUCAAUUUUUUAAGACAUUGUUUUUUGUUUUUUAAGUCUUCACGUGUGCAAAAUUACUUCUGUGGUGAGCCGACAUCUGGUUAGCUUGACGAGUACUUCCUGACGGCUGAUGUCCUGGAGAACUAUGGACUUAUGUAGAAGAAAAAAACUAGAGUAUCUUCGGGCUAUAUCCCUGUUUGAUCUAUAAAUGUUCGGCAAAAUCACUUUUCUUAUCAAAACAUGUGGACAUUUGCUUAUAAGAUCACAGUUUUAGUACUCUCCUUGAGGGUGAUUUAUUGCUCUUUGCAUUGAAGUUCAAAGUAAUGGCAUUUUAUCUCUACAUUGCUAGCAAAGUGAGGUGCCAGAGAUAAAUGAAACUCCAUGCCAGUGGUGCUGCCUUGAUUAUAAUACAUCCAGAACAGACACAUAAGCUCCUCUGUUCUAAUAGCACUUUAUUCUUAUGAAAUCUGGUUUUGAGCAUUUUAUUACGGAGGGCAGCAUGGUUUGUUCAAGGAUCAGAUGUUACUCGUGCUUCUGAAUGCCAUGUUUCAGAGCUGAUAGCACACGCUUCAGAAAGAUAAUUGUAGAUGAUGCGAAUAACUUAAGUUUUUGUCAAGCAUCAGUACACUGUAUGCACUAUGAAACAGAUUAGUUUAUAUUCAUGCUGAAUAUAAACAAAGUAGGAUACAUUCAGCUAUUAUUACUUGCAGAAAAAGCUGCAUGAAAGCAAUUAUAUGGAGUUUCAAAUGGGAAAGAAAUCACAAAAGAUCAGUUUUUCCCUUUCCUUUUUAAGCAGCUUUCGUUUCUGGUGCCACAUUGCAAAGUAGGUGAACUCUGACUAUAACCAAAUAGUACUUUGCUGUUUUUGUGUAUUCUAAACCAUACACUUGUCCAUGCAUAUGAAUUUCAUUAAUUUUAAAUACCAAUACUGGUUUUGAAAAGACUGGUUCAUAAUAUGCUUAAUUAUGUUGUGGUUUUUCUGUACCAAUGAAUGAUCCUGGUGAGUGGUUAAAAUAUUUGUUGGCACAUGUGGCUGUAUUAGUGAGAGGUCAAUAUGCAGCCUUUUCCACUAAUUAGCAUGAUUUUGAUAAGUUCAGAUUCUGAGAAGGAAAAGAAAGCCUCAGGGCCAGAGUAUUCAGGAGGACACCAAUCCAAACCCAUGUCUGAGGCAGCUUGAAAGAAGGUUUGCUGCAGAGAAGAGAUAGAAAGAGCGAAAUAGAGAUGGUAGGGGCGUGAUCUGUUGUAGGUAUGAAGUGAAGUAAUCCUUCCUUCCCUGCUGUUUGUUUUUGCAAGUCUGUUUUGCACAACUCUAUUUGCAGUGCGUGCAGUAACUGAGAGGCUGCGUUUUGAGGGUUUUAGGUGUCGAAUAUGACCGGACCAUUAAAAUAAAAGUUGUAUAUCUUUUCAAGACCUUUCCAACCAAUGUUUAUUUGCAAUUUUUCUUCAGGUGUUCUAGGAGAUAUGCCUAUCUGAAGUUACUGUUAGUUUCGUCAGACUGCAGUUUCAGUCAUGACUUCCUAUUUUGCGGGCAGUUUAAAGUAACUUCAAGGCUGAAUCUGUCCAUGGGGCUAUGGAUGUAUUUUCAGUAUUUGGUUUGAAACUUCCAUGGAUAAUUUCUUCUCAAUUUUUCGCUGAGUAUAGUGAAAGAUACAACCUUCUGAAUGUGAGAUCUUCCUGAAACUAUAUAGUUUCGGUUGUGAGUUUCAAAUUGGUUCGCCGUUUUAACGGUACUUAGAGGCCGAAUGUAUUGUCUUGAACGAAACUGUUGCAUCUUGCUUUAGAGGUUUUCUGAUACGGUCACAGCUGCCGCAACUGACGAUUCAUUAACUCCCUCAUCGUGUAACUUCCCUGCUGCAGGUGAUUGGAUCAGCGAACCUUCUUUGUAGUUUAAGAUUUGAUCGGUUGGAGGAACGUGGUAAGUCCCUAGCAAAAUUCUUUUGCCUUGUUAAUUCUGCGUUUUUUAGCAGUGCAGCUGGUCCAUGUUAUAUCAUCAAAGUCAUCGAUCUUUGACAGAAUGUAAUGCAUGAGCAGUAUAGUAUUAUCUCUUAUUAUGUGAACCCUCAGAUACCUUUCCAUGAGACUGAAACCCAACUGUUUCCAAAUUUCUUAUGUGUUUGUGUAUAUGACGAUACAUAAGUGAGUUUCACCAUUAUUGGUCUAUUUUUUGAUGUUUUUUCCAAGGAUAUUAGAUUGUUGAGUUAAUUGUCAGUGAUGCCAUCACACUGAGUUGCCAUUAAACUGUAAAAGUUACGUUUUUUUGUUUACCAAUGCAAUUAUUUUAAUUAUUAUAGAACAUCUGAUUGACG